UGUAGCUCAGUUGGUAGAGUGCUUGCCUCACAUGUACAAGGCCCUGGGUUCAAUCCCCAGCA
rnacentral:tRNA from 1 species